GGGAAACUCAGUUUUUUUUCUGACACAACUGAGUGAGCCAGACAGACCUCGGGACACAAAAGUAUCAUACACCUAGUACCCCAACCACAGCCUGGGGAACUAAAAACAUCAAACCUCCUGGACUAAAAAGAGAUAAAUAUUUGGAAAAAUCAGGAUUUAUAAUGAACUAAAAUCCUGGGAUUUUGCAUCACACCUUAAUCUAAAGACAUUAAACAAACCUGGACACACUCCAUCAAAGACCGGAAUACAAGGACAGCACACCAUGUCUGGGAUUCAAGGAUUUUCCGUGUUUGCCUUCAUUCAAAUUCUCAGCGUUUCUAUGACCAGUAAGGACUCAUUGCAAAUUAAAAUUUUUAUGUAUAUCUUAUGAACCUCUAAUGCUUAAGAGCAUCGUUCCUCUCUGGGAAUUUACUUGUAACUUAAUUGGUGAAAUGUAAAAGUGAAAUUGCUUUAGUAGAUUGGAGCAGUCUGUCAAUGGAAUGUUCAGAAUUCCAAUGGUCCAUAUACUAAUAAUAGAAGUUAUAUUAUCAGUUUAACUCUUUGUAUAUCAGUAUGGCAUGGCAUGCAAACAAAUCUAAUCUGUAGAAUGUAUGCGUUGCCAAGAAAAAAUAAAUUGUUGAUAAUUAGAAGUAGCAUUUGGCACUAAAAUUUUUUUUUAUAAAUGACUAGAACAAUAAACUUAACAUUUUAGCCCAAUAUUCCCAUUGUGAGUUAUUAAACCAGUAUUGUUUAUUGAUAAUGGAAAAAUAUUGUUAUGGAAUCACAAAAGACAUACAAAAUACAUACCUCCCCCCACGCCCCACCCCAUUCCCCCAGUGAGAUACUUAUAUGACAUAAAUUAAUUGUUAAACUAUCACAAUAAGGCUAUUAUGUUAAUGCAUGUGUUGUUGAACAUCCAAGCUGAUUCCAGCUAUGUCUUCUCUACAGCCUCUGCUGUCUCUAUCAUCAUUUCUCCCCUGGAAAGCAAGAUCGUUGCCCAGAUUGGGGAACCACUUCAUAUAACUGCUGAGGCCACGGACUGCGAAGGCCCUUCAUUUACCUGGUCUAGUCUUAUGGACAAAACAUUAAGUGGCGCUGUCAGCACUAAUGGAAGCAUCUCCAUCCUUAACAUGAUGGUCAGCAUAGACAGUGAAGGUCAAUACGUGUGUAAAGUCUUCUGUAAGAAUGGAAAGUCAGAGAAAACCUUCAGAAUCAUUCCAUACUGUAAGUAUGUUCUAUCUUUUUUUAAUCAAUUCAAACACAUUCAUUGUAAAGCUCACAUUCAUCUUUAUAAACAUCCAAUGUAGUAUUGGAAAAAAAAAAAAACAGUUACGCGGUUUGAUCGGUACCGGAGGACUAGAUAUGAUCAAGUAUGAUGACUUUGGGAGUUCUGGAGAGACUCCACAGUUGUUGUCCAGCCGGUAGCCGUUCAGCUGUCUGUAGAUAAACUAUAACAUCUUAGCUAGAAUUUGGAUGGUUACUGGCUGACUAUGGACCAAUAAAAUAAACUCCCAAACAAUGUAGACAUGCCUAGCCAAUACGAAUUCCUCAAUUGUUAAUAUUAUGGUCAAAACUUGGUAAACACAACAUAUAUUUUGAUUCCUACAAAUGCUUCUCCUUUUAUGAAUGACAGAUAUCGUUGGGCUAUUAUGUUAGCAUUCAAACUGUAAUCUAUUUUCACAAUACUGAUUUGCACGCUGUUAUUGUACACACGGUAAAAUUGGACUGCAUGUGUCUCACCUUUCUUUAUUUGAUAAUAUGCUACAGGUGUGAUACAAAUGACUUUUAUGGUGGAGACACAUCUGGCAUAACAUAAACAAAUAUUUUCAAAUCUCCUAGUGAUAGUGCUGUAAAGUGAAAACGUAGAAGCAAUUUAUUGAUAUAAGAAUUUGGAGAGGUGGAGAAGUGGAAUUAUGUUGCGGAGGCAAGGAAUGGAAAAAGAAUGGAGAGAAACAGAAAUUUGGAAUAGUAGAAGAGAGAGAGUAAUUGAGUGGCAAUGGUGGAAGGAAUAAAAUAUGGGUGGUUUCCUAGAAGUGAAUUGAAUAGAACAAGGGUACAAACAGGGUGGGUAUUGAAAAGGGAGUGAUUAGCAUUAGGCAAAGGAGAUAUGUGUGUAAAAGAUAUAUGCAAAAAGGGAAAAGUGGAUUAGGAGUAUUUAUGGGAGGACAGCAAAUUGAAUAUGGGGAUUGAGAAAACUGGUAUGGGAAAUAGAAAUGCAAAGUGAGAACAGAGUGUGGGGGGACAUAAGGGAUACCUGAAAUUAUAUUAAAGGGUCACUUUACUGCCCCAAUUCAAAAAAAUAACAACCACUUUUAAGUAGAUAUGUCGCCAAUGAAAACAUGCAGGAAUUUAAUUAAAGGACCACUAUAGUGCCUGGAUAACAUAUUUGUUUUCCUGGCACUAUAGUGCCCUGAGAGUGCCCCCACCCGCAGAGUCCCACUCCCGCCCGGUUAAAUCUUACCUUUUUUCCUGCGCCAGGCGGGGAGCUCUCCUCCUCCUCUCCGCCUCCUCUUCGGGUGAAUGCGCAUGCGCGGCAGGAGCUGUGCCUAGAGUGGUCCUUUAAGCAUUUUUUUCACUGGGGGACUAUCUAAAAACUUACACAAGCUGUAGAUCUCUUGUCUGCAGUCUUUGCAAGCCCUCCCCUUCUUCCCCAGUCCAGAUUUUAUGUUGCUGUCCAACCACAGACUUUCCAAUGCAGCUCAAUGAGAAGUUUUUGCAAGACAGGUGCUCUGGCUCUUCGAGUUGUGAUUGACAGCCAGUGAGAUUUAACAACAUGAAUUUAUAAAAGUGCCAAUUUCUAAUGAAAUCUGCCCUUCUAGUAUUUUAGUAAAAUGAAAACAGAGAAUUUACUCUUCACUUCAGCAAGCUAAAGUUCUUCAGAGGUCUGGAGAGUAGUAGCAGCGACAUUCCAUGUAUUUUAUUUUUAUAACAUGAUCCAUGAGAUUGUGAUAAGCUAGGACAAAUUCAUAGAUGGAAGUGCUAAAUCAUGCAUUUAUUUCCAUUUAAACAACUGUAAAUUACUCAAUAUAUUAUAUAUGCACUUAAUAAUGCAUUACAGACCCUUUACCAUCAUAGUAACAUAGUUAGGUAGCUGAAAAGAGACUUGCGUCCAUCAAGUUCAGCCUUCCUCACAUAGGUUUUUUGUCUGUUGAUCCAUGAUAAUGAUUUUAGUUUUUAGAUUUCAUCUGUAGAAUGUUAGACACUGCUCAGAACUCUCCAACACAAUCUUAUAUUUUAAGAGAGUGAUCUUUUUACAUAAAAAUGCAUCACUUUUUUGUAUAUGUAUAUGCUGCUAUUUCUAAUUCACAGAUUAUGAUAAAGUAAGACUAAGCAUGCCUGAUACAAAUUGUUGUGGUAAUCUCUUUCUCAGAACAGAAUUGAUUAUAGUUUUUGUCACAUCACAGCGUUUCCCAGUGACCCUGUGCUGCAGGUGUCCUCUUUGGUGGUUGGCAUUGAGUCCACGAUUACCUGUGCAGUCCCCUAUGUGUAUCCUACAGAAAUGAUGGCUGUACAAAUUCUGAAGAAUCAAAAGGUAAUUGCUGAAUCGGACUUACAUACCAUAGUGGAUGACAGACUCCAAACCAAAAACAUCAGUGUAUCACACAGCUGGAUCCCCGAAGAAGAAAACGAGAGCCAUCAAAUACUAUGUGUGGCACGACUGGAAUUUCCCAGUGGAGGGAUUCAUCCAAAGACAAGAGACACCAGAAUGAUUCUUAAUCUUAUCUGUAAGUGGCAAGUUUUUUGGCAAACAUGCCUUUAUUUCUAAGUGAAACUGACUAGGCUUGAUCUUAAGAUCCUUCAAUUCAGGUGUUCUUACAAGUGAUUUUUUGUGUGACAUCAAAUAUUGUUUCUUUAUCAUCUACACAGACACCAUUCUUUUUUUCUCUAUGCAUUUGCAAUUCUCCGAUGUACAUAAAAAAUAAACUUAGGACUAUCAAGGUAUUUGUUUGUACACACCAUCUUCAAAUAUACUUUUAAGAACUGAAUGGCAAAACUGAGGUUAAAAUGGCCAAUUUAGAAAAAAUAUCCCAUUCAGCAACAAUCACAUCAUGGUUGUUUUGUCCUAAAGUUGGCUAUUUGGAUAUCAAUUCUCUUUAUCCCACAGUUUAGUUAAUAAACGUUUAGAAUUGUUGAUAUCUUUUGGAUUCUUUUAUGCAACACUUCUCAAUGUACAGCAAUGCUAAUUAGCAAUUUGCAGAACUGUGAAGAUGAGAAUAAUCUGUGUGAAUUUUCAUUUUAUUCUUCAACAGAUGGCAUUAUUGUGCCCCUAACAAUGGUAACCUCCAUUUUGUUGCAAUGUCACCACUUGCUAGUCCUCUGCAUAGUAUGUGAACUACAUAGGCUGGACCCUUUUUUCUUUUCCAAGGUCAAAUUAAUUUUAUGUGUUAGAAAGGUGGUUGCAGAUUACAUAUACAGAGAAGGAUGAUAAAUGCAGAUAACUAAAAGUAUUUUUCCUAUAACUUAUCAAUUCAUACAUUUAUCAGCAAGCACAAAUCUGUCUGUGAUGUUCUAUGUGAUUUAAAUGUAUAAAUAAGUAUCAAACCAAGAAACAAGAGUUUUUACAACACAUUGUUUCUCCUGAUACCCAUCUGUGUAAAAUGGUUCCACACUUUAUAUAAAUCUAUCUAUCUAUCUAUCUAUCUAUCUAUCUAUCUAUCUAUCUAUCUAUCUGUCUGUCUGUCUCUGUCUGUCUGUGUAAAGUUCCUCCAUGACCUGAACACAAGACCAAACACUACCUCACCAUGAACGAAAUAGCAAAUCAACAGGUUAAAAAAAUGUAGAUAUUGGUUCUUGUUAGAUGUUAACGGAUCAUCAGUUUUCUAUUAGUGAAAUACUAGCAUGAUAACCACAAAGUCAGAUAUUCAUGCAUCAACCCUAAAACGUUGACAUUGUGGUACAUGUUAUGAGACUAAGGUAAAAGACUGAGGAAAAAACCCAAAACUCACAUUUGCAUGUAUUUUUAAGAAAUUCCACCGUCUUCCACCUUCUGUGUUUUUAGAUCCACCUGGAAAUAUCAGUAUGGUAGUUCACCCAUCAACGAAGGUGAAAUGGAUGGAGACAAUAUCUCUGAGCUGUACGUGUGAUAGUAGAACUCCAGUCAAAAUAUGGUGGGUUAAGCAGAGAGGAGGUGAAACUUUAAAGAUUGCAUCUGAUGGGAACAGCAGUCUGGAAAUCAAUCAAGCACAAAUGGAAGACUCUGGCGAAUACAUCUGUUAUGCAGAGAAUGCUGCAGGGAAAAAAUCCGCUUCUGUUGAAAUCACAGUACAGAGUAAGAGACUUUUAAACAGUACCAUAUUUUUACCUUUGUUGAUGCUUAGAAAUUCCAUAUACUGCUCCAUAUAAUCAAUCACAAUAAAAGAAAAAUCUUAUUCUUGUACCACUCCUACUAUGGCAUCCAACUAACUCCUCUUCCUAUCACUACAGCUAUUAUUAUUAUUAUUAUGAUAUUUAUAGAGCGCCGUCAAAUUCUGCAGCGCUUUACAUAUGGCAUAGUACCUCCUUUUGCUCCCUAUAUCAUAUCCCAACAAUUCUUCCUAAUAUCUAUAACCCUAUACGACCUUAUUAUUUAGGAACAUGUUACCUAUGAUUUCCCAAUACCAUCUGCAUAAACCAUCAUACAGAAACGCAUCUGGUUGCCAUCAUGUAACCCUCAUCCUAUUGUUCUUCCAUAGACAUUUCCAUUUUACUCUUGCUUUUGUCCUACAUCAAGCCCUCAAUAAAACAUUUUCAUGUAGGCCUAUAAAAUGACAACAUGAAAAAUAACAGCAUAUGUAUAACUCAAUGCUGACAAUCAUUAUGAGAGACACUAAUAACACCAUAAGUUUACCCACAUUGAUCACCAAAUACAUUCAUUGUUUGUAUAAGCAUGUCUAUUUCUGCUUCUUUGCUGUUCUUAGCUCUCCCAGAUAAACCUACAAUCACCAUCAAACCAGAUACAUCAGUGACUCUGGGACAGACAGUUACAAUUGCAUGCUCUGUGAACAGCGGAACUUCAGCAAACAUUACCCUAUGGUUGGUGACAGAAAAUGAGAAUAAACUCUUAAUGGACAAUAAGGAUGUCUUUGAGAUACAGUCAGUACAAAUCCAAGAUGGUGCCACAUACCUUUGCCAAGCAGAGAAUCCUUUUGGAAAAGCAGAGGCAACAAAAACCCUUACUGUGAAAUGUAAGUAUGUGGAGUAAGCUUUUAGGAUGAUCUGCAUGUUGGAGCUUAACUAAGAUUUGGUGUCUGAUAAGAUCAGAUUUUUUUUAUUUUUUUUUUAAAGUUCAUUAGUUAAUGUAUUCACAUGUAUGUUAGAACAUAUAACAGUUUGUAAGCACCUCAAUGUUUUGCCAACUGGCUGUCUGUUAGUGAAGUUUGAUCGUGGUUCUACUAUCAAGAAUUCUUAUAAAUCCUUCUAAGUGCAGCAUUCUAAAAAAAUAAUACUGUAAGCUUAAACCAUUUUGAGCAAAUGGUGAAUCAACACAGUGUGACAUUAUUAUUUUUCCCCAGACUCCGCAGAUUCCUGGAACACUACAAUUUAUUACUUUCUGAAUAAUGUAAGCAAUACACAUAUGGGAUACAGCUAUGGAAUCUAAAAAGAACAUAGACAAAACAUAGUGUAAUACAAUUUUAACAAAUAAUGUGUGCUGUACAAAAAUGCACUCACAAGAUGAAGACGUGUUAUGCGCUCAAAGGGUGCCUCCCCCAAUGUAAUUGGGGAGCUAUGGGUCCCCCUCCACUGUCUGCAGGAUAGCAGAAAAUCAGGACUCCGAUGGUAGUAUAAAAUAGCGGCUAAAUCAAAUAAAAUUGGUAAAACGGCAGUAGUUGUGGUCUUACGUAUUUCGUUCCACACUUGGAACUUCCUCAGAGACCAUAAAAUCAAAGUAAAUUACAGAUCCACAGGCUGUUAUCUUUGUAUAACCAUCUGUAAUUUAGUAGACCACAACUACUGCUGUUUUACCAAUUUAAUUUAUAAUAAAAACCGCUUUUUUAUACUACCAUCCGAGUCAUGAUUUCCUGCUAUCCUGCAGACAGCGGAGAGGGAUCUAUAACCCCCCAAUUACAUCGGGGGAGGCACCCUUUGAGCGCAUAAUAUGUCUACAUCUUGUGAGUGCAUUUUUGUGCAGUGCACACUAUUUGUUAAAAUUGUCUUACACUAUGUUUUGUCUAUGUUCUUUUUAGAUUCCGCAGCCUUAUCCCAUUUGUGUUUUGCUUGUAUUCUGGUCUAAAGAUCACUAACUGGGAAGUGAUCCUUGGGAGGCUGUCCACUUUAUUUACCUGAUAAGUAUAUUGCAUAUUUAUUUCACACUAUUCAUACGUGAUUGUGGUGAUAGUAUUGUUUUGUUUUCUUUCUGAAUAAUGUAACUGCAGGGGAAGUAGAAACUUUGCAACAAUACUUUAAUUUAUUGUUUUGUAACAUAUUUUUUCACCCAACAGUUCCACCCACUAACACACAAGUAAGAUUCACACCGUCUGCAGAAGUGAGCGAGGGCGAAUUUGUCCACGUUAUAUGCAAAUCAACUGGUUUUCCCAUCCCUGAGUUGAUCCUAAAGAAAAAGACUGAUGUUGACUUACAGGUGUUACAAAUGGCUGAUGGAGAAUACUGGAUUGAAAGUGCUACAGCAGAGCAUGCAGGAACCUAUAUUUGUGAAUCAAGGAAUGAUAUUGGAAUUGAAAGUACAGAAGACACACUCACUGUACAAGGUACGAAAGUAAAAAAAUUGCAAUAGAAACCAAGAAACCUUGAUGUUUUAGCAGUGCUAUAGUUCUACUGGAUAUGGUACUCUACCUUUUGGCCACUGGUGGCAUUGAUCUAUUCCUCCAAAGAGUUUCUAAAUUGGGUUCCUUCUCUCAACAGUUUCACCCACAAACACACAACUAAUCAUCCUGCCAUCAUCAUCGGUGAAGGAAGGAGAAUCAAUCAGCAUCUUCUGCAAUUCAACAGCAUUUCCACCACCUGAGAUCAUCCUAAAGAAGAAGACUGAUGUCGGCCUACAUGAGUUACAAAUUGCUCAAGGAGAACACCGGAUUCAAAGUGCUACAGCAGAGCAUGCAGGAACCUAUAUAUGUGAAUCAAGGAAUCAUAUUGGAAUUGAAAGUACAGAAGACACACUCAUCGUACAAGGUAUGAAAGCUACAAAUGUGCAUUCGAAACUGAGAAUAAAUUUCUUUGUAAUAAAGAGUUGCAUAAUGUUAUACAUUUUAACAUUAUAUUGUUUAUAUUUGUAAACAAUUGGCUCCCAAAAAUCCAAAAAGUAAAUUACAAUAUUGAGUGCUUUCUAAUUCUAUAAAGCCAUACAAUGCUAAUUUUCUAUUGCGUCCUUUCUCUCAUCAGUUUCAGGGCUGCAAAACUACAACUCCAUUGAUACUUUGGCAGUGUUGUAGUUCUACUAUACCUGUGGCUCUAUAUUUUGGCCACUGGUAGCAUUGAUCUAUUCCUCCAAAGAGUUUCUAAAUUGUGAUCUCUCUCUCAACAGUUCCACCCAAAAACACACAACUAAUCAUCCUACCAUCAUCAUCGGUGAAGGAAGGAGAACCAAUCAGCAUCGUCUGCAAAUCAACAGCAUUUCCACAACCUGAGAUCAUCCUAAAGAAGAAGGGUCUGGAGUUAGAAAGUUAUAAUGAAGUUAUCCAUAUUAAAAGUGUUAAAGUGGAGGAUGCAGGGACCUAUAUAUGUGAAUCCACGAAUGUUGUUGGAUUUGAAAUCACAGAAACAACACUGAAUGUACAAGAUAUGAAAGAAGGUAUGAAAUAAAGAAAUAUUCAUGAACAUGCCCAUGCACUAAAGGAUACGCUGUUUUAGACACUGUUAGUUAUGUGUUAGAUUAUUUAUGGGUCAGUUACAUAAAUGUUUAUAUAUCAUUAUUCUGAUAAUAGUCAUAUGUAAAGAUGUAAUCAUGAUUAUUCAACCCCCAUUAAAAAUAAGGUUUAUUGUCAAAUUUUACAGAUAUUCGGCUGUUUGCAAUGAACAAAUCAAACAAAAGCAAUAUAAAUAACUUGGCAAAAAGAAUGUUUUAAGUGAUUUCCCCAAAUUCAACUAAAAAUGCAACUUGUAAUGGCUUUUCCAGUCUUAAAAUGAUUCAACUCAAGCAUUGUUAGUAUUUAGUAGAGCACCAUUUUGCUGCUAUGACCUGCUGCAAUUGACAAGCAUAGCCAGAUACAACUUCUAGCAAGGGAUCUUAGCACAUUGCUCAUGAAAAAUGGCCUCCAGUUCAGUAAUAUUCUUGGGUUUGCUUACGGAAACCAUCUUCUUUUAAUCCCACCAGAGAUUUUCUAUGGGGUUCAAGUCAGGUGACUGUGAUGGCCACGGUAACAUGACUUCUUCUGCAACCAAGCCUUGGUGGAAUUUGAUGUAUGAUUGGGAUUAUUGUCUUGUUGUAAGAUUAAAUGACCCCCACGCUUAAGCUGCUUCGCCUGACAUUUUCUGAUAGGAUUUCCUGAUACUUCAAUGAAUCCAUGCCUUCCACAUGUUGUAGGUUUCCAGUGCCAGAUGAUUCAAAGCAGCCUAAGAGCAUCAAUGAGCAACCACCAUGCUUAAUUGCAGGCAUAAUGUUUUUUUCAAUGUAUGCUUCAUUCUUCUUCCUCGAGACAUACCACUAAUCCACUGGGCUGAAAAGUUCGAGUUUUGUAUCAUCACUCCACAGAACAGAAUGCUAAAACUACUGUGGCUUAUUUACAUGAUUUUGAGCAUAUUGGAGCUGAGUUUUCUUGUGCUUUUGAUGCAGUAGUGGUGUACAUCUUGGAGUUCUGGCAUGGAAACAUUCUGCAUUUACUGUGUUUACUGAAACCAUCAGUGCCUAUUGCCACAAAGUCUUGCUGCAGGUCUUUGGCAGUUACUAGAGGUUUUUUCACAACCUGCUUUCUCAGAAAUCUUGUUGCAGCCAUUGAUAGCUUCCUUUAUCUGUUCUGUCCAGGUAGUGUAACCACUGUUCUUUCUACUUCAAAAUUGUGAAUUAUGCUUCCAACGUAUCUCUAGGAACAUUUUGUGCCUUUGUUAUCUUUCUGUAUCCUGUUCCUUGUCUGUGAAGGGUGAUGAUCUCUUCUUUUAACUUUGUGGACAAUUGUUUUGACUUAUACAAACAAGCACAAUGUGCACAAAAUCAAUGUAAAAUACACCCUCCAGAAAACAGAAGAUAAGAUACUUUAACACGGAAUGUUGAUGGCAGGUAAGUAUCAGCAAUGCCUAAAAAAGAAAAUAGCACAUAGUGUGUACUGAUUAACAACUGGAAAUUAUGUAUGAUAAAUGAUUACACUCAUGAAUUCCAGAGCCGUACCAGACUCUGGAAUGAUGGGCACAUUAUUAUAUAAGUAUCUUAUCUUCUGUUUUCUGGGGGGUGUAUUUUACAUUGUGUUUGUGCACAUUGUGGUUGUUUGUAUUCUCAUUGUAUAGGUGUUGGGGAUACACCUACUCAUACCCUCUCUCUCUCUCUCUCUCUCUCUCUCUCUCUCUCUCUCUCUAUAUAUAUAUAUAUAUAUAUAUAUAUAUAUAUAUUCCACUUCUAAGAAGUGCCAUGCUUGUAUAUAUCUUAUAAUUGUUUUGACUUGGCCAUACUUUAAAGGAACACAAACAUGUAUUCCUGACUCUAAUGUGCAAAACCCAUCAUUAAGCUGGCUUGCCUCCCCUUACCCCCCUUAAACGCAUGAAAAACUCACCUUAUUUCCAGCGCUGUGCGGGUCUGCCUUGGUGACAUCAUCAGAAUUGCCAAUUUUUAGCCAAUCAGCAUUGGAUUGGCUAAAAUCGGCGAGGGGCGUGGCCAAAUGCCAUUUUGGCCAAUCAGCACCUCCUCAUGAGGAAAAUUCAAUGUCCCCGUGCGGAGCGUGGGGAAGCUGAACGGCAGAGCUGCCUACUGUGCAGCACUGCGUCAGGAAGCACCUCCAGUGGCCAUCUGAGGAGUGGCCACUUGGAGGUGUCCCUAGGGGCAAUGUACACACUGCCUUUUCUCUGAAAAUGCAGUGUUUGCAUGAAAAUGCCUGAAGGAAGUGAUUUUACUCACCAGAACAACUACAUUAAGCUAUAGUUGUUCUGGGGACUAUAGUAUCCCUUUAACAUGCAGUCAAACGUGACACUCAACAAACACCCUAUCCAGUUCAGGUAUUUCAAGUGUUCCACCUCAAGCCCACCGGGUGCAAUGAAUGAAACCCUUGAUUAUAUGCACCGGGUCUGCUUGAGAUAACACCUGUUAUGCAUAUUUGUGCUGUUGUGAGGGAUUCUAUUCAGAGGGUUGAAUAUUUUAUUUUAAUAAGUCAUUAUAAGUUGCAUUUUUAGUUGAAUUUGGAGAAACCACUUGAUGCAUUCAUUGUUGUGUUGUGUUUCAAUUGCUUUUGUUUGAUUUGUUCAUUGCAAACAGCUGAAAGUCUGUAAAUUUUGACAAUAAACCUGAUAAACCUGAUUUUCAAUGGCGGUUGAAUCAUUUUGAUCAUGACUGUCAAAACAUAUUGGCGAUAGGAACACUACACAUUUUAUACAACAUAUCACGCUCAAUCCAUUAGAAACAAUAACAUUCUGCACCAUUCUUUCAUUCAGACUAUUGGUUAUAUGGAUAUCUCCAUCUCUGUAGAACCCUCAUUUAGCGGAGUUAAAAAUGUAUUCCAUGUCAGAAUAGGAUCGUAAAACGGAGAAAGAAACUCAUAGGGUAGUAACGUUGGUUCUAGAAAACCCCAGAAUGCAAGGUUGCUAUCACAAAGUAGCACAAAAUUCAGGGUCAUCAAUGGUAUGUAGAUUCCACCAGAUUCAGCUAUGUUCAGAUAUCCAAUAAUUCAUGUAAAGAGAAUAUAAAAGAACAUGAAAAGAGCAACACUAAUAUGACAUUGAAACACACGCUUUAAUGGUUACACUUAGUAUAGAUCAGUAAAAAAAAGCCAAUCAGUACAAUCCUGUAGUCCCCAGUCCUGUUCCUGAUGAUGUAGGAUAGAGGAGUCCUCACAGGUACCAUAGGCAGAAAUAGCAGCAUAUAAAACAAUAAUCACAAUAAAAUACAAAAAAAUAACCCUCACUCCACGCGUUUCAUGUAAUUACUUUAGACUUUAUCAGGAGUAUUAAAAGUGCUAAGUAGUGCAUUAAUUAAAGUGCUGUAGUCUGUAGAAACCAGAGCCGUCCUUUAAAUAGCCCUCUCUCAUAUGGCAAUUCAUGAAUUGUCUGCUACUUUGUGAGUGCAACCUUGAAUUCUGGGGUUUUCUAGAAUCAACGUUACUACCCUAUGAGUUUCUUUCUCCAUUUUAUGUAUAUCCUGUUGUUUGCUAUUUGUGUUGGAGGAUUGAGAGGAAUCCUUUUGUUAUACCUUACAUCUAAGAGGGGCAAUUACCUUUUUGUAUUGAUUGUAUAUAUAUUGCACCUGGGUGGUUUAUAUUCUGAUUAUUUUUUUGACAGAAUGGGAUCUACACAGACCAAAUGUGUUACAACAACAUGAACAGUUGUAGAUUAAUGUAUAUUUUAAUAUAAUAUAUAAACUAUUUUCACAGUUUUAUUAUUCUCUUAAUUAAAUUUGUGGUCCUGCCUUUUUAGUUGCCUCUGAAAACACAACGGUAGUUGUAAUACCAUCGGAGAAUGUCACAGAAGGUGACACCGUCACAAUUACCUGCGAGACCUACAGCAUACCCUCCCCAACCAUCCUUCUGCAGAAAGUGUGUGCGGAAAAUAAUACUAUCAUGCAGGCACAGAAUGGCACCUUCACCUUGCGUAAUGUCACCCUCAAAGAUACUGGGAUGUACACAGUCAGCAUAAUUAAUGAAGCAGGGAGAAGGACCAAAGUUAUUGAGAUCAAUGUUCUAGGUCAGUAGAAUGUACAUAUUAACAAUAAGUAAAAAUAACAAAUUAAUAAUAAUUAAUAUUUAGGUCUAUCUAAAUUAUAUUAAAUUGGACAAAGAGUAUAUAAAUACUAAGAUGAAAUCUGAAGCACCCAGCUCUCUAUAUUAAAAGUAAAAUAAAUAUAUAUCAUAAAGUAAAUUUGUAUAAAUAAAAAAAUAUAUAUAUUUAUACUUUACUAAGACAGUACACUGAUAUUUCCAGGGUACAUAUUGCAUUGGUAAACAGCAUAAAAACGUUUUCAGGGAGAACAACAAACUCAGUCAGCUGACUAUUGUGAUAGAAAUGAAGUCAACAUUCAACAGGAACAUGCCCAUCUAUUGUCAGCAAGAACAGCUUUUCCAGAAAUAGGAAAUCACAUCCGAGUGACAAAAUUCUGCAUUAUACAAAUUUUAAAAGAAAACAGGGAUAAUAUUUUCAGAUUGUUGAAGUGAUCUUUCAUUAGAACACAUCAAUGUUAAGAGAACUCCAUCAUGUUAACAUAAGAGUCCCGUAUUAAUCUGGAAAUAAUCUCAUGUAUCUAUUUAAGUGUGCUACUUAGCACAUAUUGUAGAAAGAGAAUUAAAAACAUCCGGUUAUUGCAAAAGUAAACUUGCACCUCACCAUUCAUCCUUUCUGGUCAUCCAGAAUUUCUUUACUUUCUGGACUGAUUAGAUAAAACGUUGAAGAUGUUGAGCUGAUCAGAAUUACUUCAUACGAUGACUACUUGUUGCUCUGUUGGAUCCAAAUGCAGGGCAAAUAUUAAAUUUCUUACCAAAUCUACAAAAUCAUAAAUUUUGAUAGCAGAAUAUACAGAUUAAAUUACUUCAAUUUAAUGGGAUGUCACUCACAAAUGGGGUCACUUUAAAUGGUUUCCCUGUUCUGUUAAUAUUCUGCAAUUCUGUAUCAGUCUAAAUUAUUGAAUAGGUUUAUUCAUAUGGCUAGACAAGUAAACUUCGCUGCACAUAAGGGCACUCUGGCAAUAUAAAUUGUGUUGUGUAUCUCUUGCAUGCAGUCUAACAGGGGUUUUUUUUGAGAAUUUUUGAGAAUGUUCUUUUGAGAGUAACAUCUGGAGAUGAAGAUUCAAUAGACAGUACAUUAUGUAACGUAGGAGCCCAAAAUAUCUUCUGAAACUACAAAAUUACAGAAAGAUUUCAUUUCAAAUCCAUUCUUAGAGGCACAUAUGUAUUGUGUUUUGCUUAAGGCGAAGUUAAUGCACAAGAUAGAGGAGCAAUAACAUAUGGUAAUUCAUGUAGCUUACCGUAAUUCUCUUAAGUACAAUGAUCUAAGUUUAUUAAGCUUUCCAAAUAAUUCAAUACUGUUAUAAAAACCUUCCAUGUGAUUAAUCUACAGGGGUCACCAUUAAACACUAUGGGAUUUUUUGUAGAUAAAUUGUCCAAUAGUAUAGAAUAAUUGGAAAGCUUGUUAAAUCAAUGCCAAAAAUAUUUAAAUUCCAAAUUGUGUUUCAAGUGUCAUUAUUGUUGUCGCGGAGCAAUCCUCAUAAUUACACUCUGUGGUUUCCUAUAAGGUGACAAUAUGAAAUCAUUACCAUAUUAUUAGCCUAAAUUUUACAAACCUCUUAAUUUUAGUCUCAAGACUAAGUCUAUCUGGGGUCAAAUCCUUCUUUGGGGAGAUGACAUUGCUUGAGCAUUUUCUAGUUUUGUUUUGUUUGUUUUUUACAGAUUCAAGUAUGAACGUUAGUGUGUGUGUCUAAUUAUGUGUGUUAGUGUGCAGCUGUGUAGGUGUCUGAGUCUGUAUCUAGGUAUGUGUGUGCACGUGUCUAUGUAUAUAUUAUUGAGUAUAAUGCUAAAAAUGGAAGUGUUUGUGGCUAAUUUGAACUGUAUAAGUGGUUAAUUAUGUAUGCAUUUGUGGCUUUUUAGGUAUAUGCUUACAUGAGUAUGAUUAAUUAAGUUUGUGUAUGCGUCUUCAUAAUGUAGGGUUUGGUUUGCAGUGUGGGGUUUGGUUUCCCCCUUGGUUUUUUUCAACAAAAUUUCUUAGGAUCACUUUAUAUAGACUCCUCAAGGGACUUGUACUUUAGCAAAUCAGAGAGCAUGCCAUUUUUGAAAAGUGGCAAUUAUUUUGAUAACUGAUAAUGUUUGACGUAAUAUUUUAUACCAAGUGUUUACCAGAAGCAUGCACUUUCCAAUUUUGUCUUUAGCCCAUGAUCAUGACAUGUUACUCUAUAUAUCAAUGACACUGUCAUUAAAUUUUUUUACGUUUAUCUGCAGUCAUCUUCUCUAAUUGUUUUGUAACCACACUCUUAUUCCUUCUUUCAGAGCGUCACGAAAGCCCGAAACCUAGCUACAUGUUCCCAAUUAUAAUGUUAUCCGUGGCUGCAGUGUCAGCAUGUGUCAUAUGUUUAAUCAUUUAUCACAUGAAACAAGCGAAGUUACAAGGGUCGUACAGCCUCGUGGAAGCUCUCAGAAGUAAAGUGUAAACAGAAUGACUGACUUUAGAAAUUCUUUGGAAAUACAUUUUGCACAGACAUAAAACUAUCACGUGUUUUCACAAAUAACUAAAUAUUAGAAAACUCCUAUAUCUACUGCAGUACAAUGUGAAAUGGCUGGCGUGGAAGAUCCAGGGGUAAACUUUUCCAAAUGUCUCUGGUUGUCAUGUCAUAAAUCUUGGGCACUCAUGAGGCCACAUAAGCAUCUACUUAUGUGAACACCUGAGUCAUAAAAAGAACAAGAGAAUGAAAGACAAACCAUGUCAAUGACCUCUUAAGAACUGUUUUUGCACUUACUCAUAGAAAUCUACUUUAUAAAUAAUGUUGUGAUUGUAUGUUUGUAUUUAGUGUUUAGAAGCUGCUGUUAUUUAUUUUUUUCUACUUCUUCACUGUCAUUUGUUGUUUCUUUUGAGUAAAUUCUAAAUGUCUUUUGAAUGUAAUGGACGUUUUGUGUUUAUAUCACUUGUGUGUUAAAUUGUAAUUCUUAUUCUGCCCUCGUAGUUGUGUUGGCCUUUGCCACAGUCAUUUCUUGAUAAUUGAUGUAGAAAUUGAAAUGGAUAGAAACCAAAAUCACAAAACAUGAAAUGGCAUCAGAAUGGAAGCUAAAACUAAAUUAGAAGUGUAAUCAUUACAUUAGGCAUUAAGUUGCUUUUUCAGAACCAAACAUCAAGCUACUAGUUACUUUCAUAUUAUAUUUAGCUAUUACGGUUGCUCAGUUCAUAAACAGAAUUGUUGGUGGUAAAGCUUGAUUUAAUUUUACACCCCAUAUAUUUGUGAACUAAAUUUUCUAUGAUGCCAGAUUUUGGGAUGAGUGGCUGAGCAUUCUGGGAAAAAUAGUUUACAAAAUACCUGUAAGUCAAGAUUCCCUAUCACUGGUACAGUUGUAAUGUACGAAAUGUCUUCACCAACUGCAGGCAGUCAUGACAUCGCACGUUAUGGUCUCUGUACGAGACGAGAAGACCUUCUAGGUGAGCUGAAACUUGAAAAAGAUAGGAAGUCCACUGGAAAAAUGUAGAAAUGUCUUGACUAUAUACUGCUGUUGGAAUUGUUCUCUGAAAGAAAUGGGAAAAAAUACAAAAUACAAAUAUUUCUAAAUAGGAGAAAAUAUUGGGCAGGACAAGAUGUGGUAAUUAAUUUUGCAGCUAGGCGUUCAAGUAAAGGUUAUAAGAAUAACAAUAGUUAUAUUUGCUAAUCUUGCUGUCUGAGCACUGUCUUGAAGAAUAACCUAGAUAAUGAAGAUGCAAGCUUCAUUCACUCAUGCCUUGCAUUCUGCGUUCUAUAUUUAAAAGAAGAAAAACUACCACAACAAGAGGACAUAGUCUUAGAUUAGAGGGGCAAAGGUUUAAAAAUAAUAUCCGGAAGUAUUACUUUACUGAGAGGGUAGUGGAUGCAUGGAAUAGCCAUCCAGCUGAAGUGGUAGAGGUUAACACAGUGAAGGAGUUUAAGCAUGCGUGGGAUAGGCAUAAGGCUCUCCUAGCUAUAAGAUAAGGACAGGGACUAAUGAAAGUAACUGGAAAAUUGAGCAGACUAGAUGGACCGAAUGGUUGUUAUCUGCCGUCUAUGUUUCUAUGUUCAAUGGAGCACACUGUGAGCAGUGUAAAGUGUGGUUACACGUAGCGUUUAGAACUCAAGACCUAUAGACUGUAACUCAUGUAAGAAUGUUAAGAGUCGCAAUCCACAAUCAAAUCUAGUAUGUCCUCUGGAUCACGAGGUUUACCACUUCACUCCAUGCUUUUAAAAAAAGUGCUCUUUCAUGAGAAAUGCUGACCAACAACUGCUAAAUAUGACCAUACUUAAUGCGAUAGAGACUGAAUUAAUAGUGUAUUUAUUGUGCUUCAAUUUUAUUUCAGAAAAUAAAUGGUUGAUUCAUAA